rnacentral:rRNA from 1 species
UGGGGAAUAUUGCACAAUGGAGGGAACUCUGAUGCAGCGACGCCGCGUGAGUGAUGAAGGAAUUCGUUUCGUAAAACUCUGUUCUAUGGGAAGAAAAGGACUGUACCAUAGGAGAAAGCUCCGGCUAAAUACGUGCCAGCAGCCGCGGUAAUACGUAGGGGGCUAGCGUUGUCCGGAAUCACUGGGCGUAAAGGGUUCGCAGGCGGAAAUGCAAGUCAGGUGUAAAAGGCAGUAGCUUAACUACUGUAAGCAUUUGAAACUGCAUAUCUUGAGAAGAGUAGAGGUAAGUGGAAUUUUUAGUGUAGCGGUGAAAUGCGUAGAUAUUAAAAAGAAUACCGGUGGCGAAGGCGACUUACUGGGCUCAUUCUGACGCUGAGGAACGAAAGCGUGGGUAGCAAACAGG